UGCUUUUAGUAUCUUUUUCAAUAAAUGUUUCUAUUUUUCAUAUUACAUGGCUGGAUACCUUCGGGACAGACCUUGUAGGUCAACUGAACCAAUACUAUAU